rnacentral:rRNA from 1 species
CCCCUUAGAUGUCCUGGGCCGCACGCGCGCUACACUGACAGAGCCAACGAGUUUAUCACCUUGACCGAUAGGCCUGGGUAAUCUUGUUAAACUCUGUCGUGCUGGGGAUAGAGCAUUGCAAUUAUUGCUCUUCAACGAGGAAUGCCUAGUAAGCGCGUGUCAUCAGCAUGCGUUGAUUACGUCCCUGCCCUUUGUACACACCGCCCGUCGCUACUACCGAUUGAAUGGCUUAGUGAGGCCUUCGGACUGGCUCAGGGAGGUCGGCAACGACCACCCAGAGCCGGAAAGUUCGUCAAACUACGUCAUUUAGAGGAAGUAAAAGUCGUAACA